GCUGGGCAUGGUGGCGCGUGCCUGUAGUCCCAGCUGCUCAGGAGGCUGAGGCAGGAGAAUUGCUUGAACCCAGGAGGCGGAGGUUGGAGUGAGCUGAGAUCACACCACUGCACUCCAGCCUGGGUGACAGAGUGAGACUCUGUCUCAA
rnacentral:SRP_RNA from 1 species